rnacentral:rRNA from 1 species
UGGGGAAUAUUGCACAAUGGGCGCAAGCCUGAUGCAGCAACGCCGCGUGAGGGAUGACGGCCUUCGGGUUGUAAACCUCUUUUAGUAGGGAAGAAGGGCUUCGGCUUGACGGUACCUGCAGAAAAAGGACCGGCUAACUCCGUG